UAACGAUAAAUUAGAGAUAAAUAUCAAGCUAUUUUAGCUAACAUUUGGAGUUUUAUCAUGUCUCUAAGUAUUAAUAAAAAAGAAAAAAUAAUUUCUGAUUUUGGCCGUUGUGCG
rfam:Candidatus Baumannia cicadellinicola strain B-GSS, complete genome.